CCCCAAAUUUCCUUUCUUCACAACCUAAACCCCACGACAACUCCUCUCGUGCGCUCCAUACACCCAUCUCUCUCGCAAAGAUCGACAACCCAACGCCUGUGCUGAACUGCCGAACUACCCCUCCACCGAAGAAUGCAAUCGACCCACGACCCCUCUGCCGAAGAAUACUGAAGAACUUGUAGAACCACGACUCCUCCGCCGAAGAACUCGAAGAACGUUGUCGACCCUCGACCCCUCCACCGAAGAACGUCGAAGAACACCGUCGACCCACGACCCCUCCGUCAAAGAACCCCUCCUCCGAAGAACGUCGAAUUUGCCUAAUCUUCACCACUGAAUCCGUCGAUUCUUCACAAUCGACGACCCCUUUUUUGCUCUUUGUUGUGUUUCUUUUCUAACUUAAGUCCCCUUUUCUUAUUAUUUGACCAUAUAACGUAUCUGACUUGCAAUCAUACUUCUAGUAGCAUAUUAGUACUCAAGCUUGACAUUAUUUCAUUAAUUGUUACGAUUAAAAUAAAAGGAUCCAAAUAAUAGGGAGUAGCCUCUAUUCAUUUCAUCAAUGAAAAAUGAUGUUUCGGUUUCAAAAAAAUUAUUGUCUGGGAAUGGACCGUUGGGAAGCAUAAGUAUAUAUUUAUGUAUGUAUAGAUCUUGUUUAGAAAUAGAAUUAAGUGCUCUUUUGUUAGCAUUAAUAAGGCCUUCAAGGUUUUACUGUGUUAAAUUUUGGUAUUUCCACGAUAUUAUCUGUUAAAGGUCUUGAAAUUUUUAAUGGAGCGAAAUAGCGUCAAUGUCAUUCAUGGUCAGGUGACCAUUGGUACUCUUAUUCUUCAGGUAUAUGACUAAAUUCCUCUUUCAAUAGUUCAUCAUAUUAUUAAUUAGGAGAUCUUGUAUUUUGGAGCAGUAGUUUGGUAAGAUGCUAAAUAUAUGUUUAUAUAUGUAGGGGGACGUAGUUUGGCUUUUCCAGAAAAUUCUGACAGUGCUGGAACUCUGUAUGAUGCUGUUCCUCGAAGCCUUACAAUUUCCAAUCAUAACUUGACAACAGAUACAGAUACACUUCUUUUGGAGUUUCCUAAUCAACCACUCACGACAAAUGUUUAUGUUCGAAAUAAUGCCAAGGCUUCAGUUCCUUUGCUCUGGAGUCGUGUUCAGGUUCAAGGUCAGAUUAGCCUUCUAUCUGGCCGAGUAUUAAAUUUUGGGCUGGGGCACUAAGCCUCUUCAGAGUUUGAGCUAUUGGCAGAAGAACUUUAAAUGAGCAACUCAUAAAUCAAGGAAUCAUCUAUUAUACAGCGUCUGGUUCUGUCUUUAUUUUAUAGUAUUCAUAUUGGCUCUGCUGUUGGUGGUACUUAUUUUAGCUCAUGAAUUAGAGGUAGUAGAGGAUGCAGAAUGCAAGUUUUUUUGAAGUCAAGUUUCGUUCAAGGUCAUUGAGUUGGGUUGAUAGAAGUAAUGUUUUUGUAUAUGACAAUAUCGAACAAAUAUGUAAAGUUUUCGAAAUUUUGAUACAUAUAUGGUAAAAUGUUAAUAUAUGUUAAAGUUUUGGAA